rnacentral:rRNA from 1 species
UACGUAGGGUGCAAGCGUUGUCCGGAAUUAUUGGGCGUAAAGAGCUCGUAGGCGGUUUGUUGCGUCGGCUGUGAAAUCCCGAGGCUCAACCUCGGGUCUGCAGUCGAUACGAGCAAACUAGAGUGUUGCAGGGGAGACUGGAAUUCCUGGUGUAGCGGUGAAAUGACGCAGACUAUCAGGAGGAACACCGGUGGCGAAGGCGGGUCUCUGGGCAACAACUGACGCUGGAGGAGCGAAAGCCGUGGGGAGCGAACAGG